rnacentral:rRNA from 1 species
GACGGAGGGGGCUAGCGUUGUUCGGAAUUACUGGGCGUAAAGAGCGCGUAGGCGGUUUGGUAAGUUGGAAGUGAAAUCCCGGGGCUUAACCUCGGAAUUGCUUUCAAAACUGCCAGGCUAGAGUGUAGUAGGGGAUGAUGGAAUUCCUAGUGUAGAGGUGAAAUUCUUAGAUAUUAGGAGGAACACCGGUGGCGAAGGCGGUCAUCUGGGCUACAACUGACGCUGAUGCGCGAAAGCGUGGGGAGCAAACAGG